CAGUCGCCGCGGGAAAACGUAGGUGGCAAGCGUUGUCCGGAAUUAUUGGGCGUAAAGGGCUCGCAGGCGGUUUCUUAAGUCUGAUGUGAAAGCCCCCGGCUCAACCGGGGAGGGUCAUUGGAAACUGGGAAACUUGAGUGCAGAAGAGGAGAGUGGAAUUCCACGUGUAGCGGCGAAAUGCGUAGAGAUGUGGAGGAACACCAGUGGCGAAGGCGACUCUCUGGUCUGUAACUGACGCUGAGGAGCGAGAGCGUGGGGAGCGAACAGGAUUAGAUACCCCCGUAGUCCCUGUCUCUUAUAC
rnacentral:rRNA from 1 species